UAAGCCAAUCCCACAAAUUUGUUUUCAGUUCGGAUCGCAGUCUGCAACUCGACUGCGUGAAGCUGGAAUCGCUAGUAAUCGCGGAUCAGCAUGCCGCGGUGAAUACGUUCCCGGGCCUUGUACACACCGCCCGUCACACCACGAGAGUUGUAACACCCGAAGUCGGGAGGUAACCUCAGGACCACCGCCGACCGGAAAUACUCACAU
rnacentral:rRNA from 1 species